CGUGACGCAGGGGUCCUGAAGCUGCGCAAGGCUAGCGGGUGGGAACCGGUGCAUGGCACCGCACCCCUAGCAGAGACUUCUGCUUGCAGAAUUCAGAGUUGCUUUUCCGAAUAAGUCUGUGCAGCCAACUGCCGUGUACCCUGCAGAGAGAGAAGAAAUCGGAGGGGAGUGGGAGAGAAAAACUCGAUUUGACAAUAUCGAUUUAUAGGGAGAGGACGUUAAUCCUGGAGACGUGAUAAAUCUUUUCCUGUAAGGCGAAAAAAGUGGAGGAGCGUGCUAAAUGAACAGACCCAUCUCGUGAGAGUCUGCGAUUGGUUGGAGACAUUUCAGCAGAAAAAGCGAUCGAUUGGAGCAGAAGUAAUUUCUCAGUGCGCUGUUUCGUGUGUUCAUUGCGUUCAUGGAACAAUUAUUUGAGGAGCUGCCCCGCUUUGGUCGCGGAUCCCACUUACCUGGGACUAACCCCGCUUUGAUAGCGGAUCCCACUUACCUGGGACUAACCGGUGCACCACCCCUGACUGCUGAAAGUUCUGGUUCCCGGGUCUCGGCACCACUUGUCGCGACCCCUUGCCCGCAAGGAAGACGCAACUCGGGAAUCUUCUUUCAACAGUUUAUUCAGGCCCCUGAUAUUUCUUCUUCUCCUUCUCGGAUGCCCCUCCCAGCCUUAAUAAAGCAUCUCAAGCCCCAA